CACCAGAACACUGACUCACUGGAGGAAGCGUUAUUAUGGAUUAUAGACUCUAUGUAUUUGAGUCAAAAACGUAAAGUAGAUCUCUCCUGGCUCUAGAUCAAACUCAUCUGAGUGUUUUCUUCCUCUCCAGUGAAUGGAUUUCAUGGCAAUGGCAAUCCGCUGCAUCAGAGUGAGCCGUCGCAUGUACUGAUGCGGAAGACCAGCACAGAUCAUCAGAGUCCCGUCUCGACUUCACCCAGCCGGAAGCAGGAGUGUGAAUCCACAGUAACUGCCGCUGGAACGUGUUAACCAACAGGGUUUUUCAAACUAUUCAGUGCUAAGGACCCGUAAAUAUGACCAUUCCCUUGCAAGGAAACCCUUUCCUAUAAUAUA